UUUCAUCUUCAUUAAGCUUCCAUCCUCCAGAGGCUCCUCUCGGAUGGGCUGUUUACUUCUCCAAGCUGUAAGAAGGUCCUGAGAUGCGCCAGGAAGCAGAGGCUGGAGACAUUCCACACAAACCAGGACCUAAAAAUAAGGAGGUAGGAAGACUGCGGUUGUUGACCAUUUGGCAAAGGCUUCUCGGGGGCCUGUCGAAACCAAUCUAGAACGAUCCGUGAUGAGACAUGAAGUGCCUGACGAUGCCCAUGUAGCAGUGAUACCAGCCAGUCACCAGUAGACCUGGGGGCCUGGUGGUGACUUUCCUUUCAGGUAAGCUGUAGGAGGAAAGAGCCAUGGUGUCAGAGGA
rnacentral:lncRNA from 1 species